AUUUAAUUAGGGACUUUCUUGUUUUUGCUAACCGGGGCCCAAAGGGCCCCAUGUGAGCUUAUGUCAUCAUUUGGCGUCCGUCAUCGUCCGUUGUCGUCUGUCGUCCAUUGUCUGUCGUCGUCUAUCGUCGUCUGUCGUCGUAAACUGAUUCAAAAAUCUUCUCCUCUGAAACUGCUGUACCAAAAACCUUCAAACUGCAACUACAUAUUCCUUAGGGUAUCUAGUUUAUAAAUUGUAUCCAAAGUUUUGAUCCAUAGACAAACAUGGCCGCCAUGACUGUAAAUAGGAUAUGAGGGGUCAAAUGCAGGUUUUGGCUUAUUUCUAAAAAAACUAAAGCUUUUAGAGCAAAUCUGACAUGGGUAAAAUUGUUCAAUUGGUCAAGAUCUAUCAGCUCUGAAAUUUUUAGAAGAAUCGUACAACCCAUUGUUGGAUUGCUGCCAC
rnacentral:lncRNA from 1 species